GGGAGGUGCCUGAGCUCACAGGGGCCGCGAGAGGCCCUGGCCCUCCACAUGCCUGGGCCCUGACUCACUGCCCGGCGCUGGCUGGACGCCCGGACAGCCUCGGCCCGCGGCCUCCAGCCUGCACACCCACUCCCGCCCCUGCCUGCUCUCCCUCUGACAGCCGGCCCAUGGGCAGCCAGCAACCAGCUCUCUCGGCCGGGCCUGUUGGAGUGCAUGCAGGAUCGGAGUCCCCCUGACCAGGCAGUGAGUGGGGAACUGAGGCCUUGCGCCUGCAGAGGCCCCGGACGCUUCCUGUGCGGUCCGCUCAGCUUUCGCCCCCAGAGGCAUUUUGGAACCUUCCCAAGACAAAAGGCGGAAGGAAGGAAGGAAGUGCCACCCUGUGGACAGAGAAGAGAUAACAGUCCCUGCGGCUCCUGGCACUUCUCUCCACCACCACGCCGGCCACCCGUGGAGCCCAGGAGUGACCUGCUGUGUUCCUGACUGUUCCCCAGUUGAUGUGCCAGGACUAUUUGUGGCUUGACCGUCAUGCCCUAAGACAGGGGUCUGAAAUGCCCUCAAGGCCCAGACUCAGUGAGAAUGUCUGCUCUCCGGGGAGGACCUGGCCCUGAGGAGACAUGACAGACACACAGACGGACACACGGGCACCAAUGAGGUUCCAAGUGGCGCGGCUCACCGAUGGGUAGGUGUAGCCAUCCUGGCUGCGGCAGAUGUGGACCUCGUCCUCCGUGGUCUUCUGGUACACAGGGUUGUCAAAGUUGAUGCUGUUGAUGCUCUUAAGCCGCCAGUUCUUCCAGAGGAGGAAGGUCCCGAAGCACAGGAGGAUGAGCAGCGCUGCAGGGAGAGGGGAGAGAUGUUGCCUUCAGCUGUCAGGCCCUUUCAACUUGUAAAGGGUUUUAUUCUGCAUUUAAAGCAGUACUUGCCCGUUGUAAAAAAAAAAAAAAAUCUAUCUAUGAGCAUAACAAAUCUCUAGC